CGUACGCAUGCGUGAGGGUGAGCUGCUGAGCGUUUGGCGUGAUCCACCAGCUGAGGGGCUGCAGUGGAUGAUGACUGGUUGAAGCAGCCUCGCCUGGCCUGGUCUGACUGGACUCUAGGGCUGGUUGAAGCAGCCUCACCUGUAGCAGUAAUCAGUGAGCACAGGUUAGACCAGCCCUCACACACCAGAUGGCAACAACACCAUGUGUCAUGAUCAAACCUCUCCAGUAACCGGGUUCUAACACCCCCCCUGUGUCCUGAUCUGGAGGAGCCCACAGAAGUCUCCGAGCAGGAGCAACAGCCAGAUCUCCGCCAAACUUGCACCCAAGCUUUGGCACACCAGAG
ensembl:lncRNA